rnacentral:rRNA from 1 species
GAUGAACGCUGGAGGCGUGCUUAACACAUGCCAGUCGAACGGGAAUUAUUUUAUUGAAACUUCGGUCGAUUUAAUUUAAUUCUAUUGGCGAACGGGUGAGUAACGCGUGGGUAACCUGCCUUAUACAGGGGGAUAACAGUCAGAAAUGGCUGCUAAUACCGCAUAAGCGCACCGAGCUGCAUGGCUCAGUGUGAAAAACUCCGGUGGUAUAAGAUGGACCCGCGUUGGAUUAGCUGGUUGGUGGGGUAACGGCCCACCAAGGCGACGAUCCAUAGCCGGCCUGAGAGGGUGAACGGCCACAUUGGGACUGAGACACGGCCCAGACUCCUACGGGAGGCAGCAGUGGGGAAUAUUGCACAAUGGGGGAAACCCUGAUGCAGCGACGCCGCGUGAAGGAAGAAGUAUCUCGGUAUGUAAACUUCUAUCAGCAGGGAAGAUAGUGACGGUACCUGACUAAGAAGCCCCGGCUAACUACGUG